ensembl:lncRNA
GUCCGGGUAUCCAUGGAGUAGGUUGUGCCCGGGUAUCCAUGGAGUAGGUUGUGCCCGGGUAUCCAUGGAGUAGGUUGUGUCCGGGUAUCCAUGGAGUAGGUUGUGCCAGGGUGUCCAUGGAGUAGGUUGUGUCCGGGUGUCCAUGGAGUAGGUUGUGCCAGGGUGUCCAUGGAGUAGGUUGUGCCCGGGUAUCCAUGGAGUAGGUUGUGCCAGGGUAUCCAUGGAGUAGGUUGUGUCUGGGUAUCCAUGGAGUAGGUUGUGCCAGGGUAUCCAUGGAGUAGGUUGUGCCCGGGUAUCCAUGGAGUCACAGGUUUUAUGAAAAAGCCUGUUGGAUGACUAAGUCUACUUCAGCACAGUGUUUAUUAGCAGGGUUCUCUGUUGUACUGAUGGGACGUGUAUAAUGAGCUGC